AUUGAACGCUGGCGGCAAGCCUAACACAUGCAAGUCGAACGGUAACAGGAAGAAGCUUGCUUCUUUGCUGACGAGUGGCGGACGGGUGAGUAAUGUCUGGGAAACUGCCUGAUGGAGGGGGAUAACUACUGGAAACGGUAGCUAAUACCGCAUAACGUCGCAAGACCAAAAAGGGGGACCUUCGGGCCUCUUGCCAUCGGAUGUGCCCAGAUGGGAUUAGCUAGUAGGUGGGGUAACGGCUCACCUAGGCGACGAUCCCUAGCUGGUCUGAGAGGAUGACCAGCCACACUGGAACUGAGACACGGUCCAGACUCCUACGGGAGGCAGCAGUGGGGAAUAUUGCACAAUGGGCGCAAGCCUGAUGCAGCCAUGCCGCGUGUAUGAAGAAGGCCUUCGGGUUGUAAAGUACUUUCAGCGGGGAGGAAGGGAGUAAAGUUAAUACCUUUGCUCAUUGACGUUACCCGCAGAAGAAGCACCGGCUAACUCCGUG
rnacentral:rRNA from 1 species